CGCGUCCUCAAGUCUCCAGCUUUCAGUGUCUCUGACUGAGGUUUACUGGUUGACAGACACAAAGCUUGACAGCACCCUUUGUGAACCAUUCAGCAGCUGCGAACCACAGAAGCAGCUUGAAGGUGUAUGGGCAGUA